AUACAGAGGGUGCGAGCGUUAAUCGGAAUUACUGGGCGUAAAGAGUACGUAGGCGGUUAUCUCAGUCGGAUGUGAAAGCCCAAGGCUUAACCUUGGAAUUGCAUUCGAUACUAUAUAACUAGAGUACAGUAGAGGAAGGUGGAAUUCAUAGUGUAGCGGUGAAAUGCGUAGAUAUUAUGAGGAACAUCAGUGGCGAAGGCGACCUUCUGGACUGAUACUGACGCUGAGGUACGAAAGCGUGGGGAGCAAACAGGAUUAGAAACCCUAGUAGUCC
rnacentral:rRNA from 1 species